GGCGGGGGCGGGGAGGCCCCUCCCCUCUCCUCCCCGCCCUGCGGGCGCGGGCCCGCUCUGCCCCCUCAGGUGCCGGCGGGCUGCCGGAGGCUGAGCUGCGGAUCGCUCCCUCCUGGGUCGCCUCACGGGGGCCCUUCCUGCCCUUCGUCACCCUCCCGGUGAGCGAGGAGGAGAGGCACUGCUCCUCAGGCUGCACACGGUUGGCUGCGGGGCAGCUGCCCCUCUCGCGGGUGCGUGUCCCGAGGGGCUUGAGCUGUUUGCCUGGCUCUUCGCUGCUCCGAGAGACCCAUCUGUGCUUACCCUGGGGAGGCCGUCUGCCUAGCACUGAUCCUGGUCUGGAGCUAGAGGGGAAGGGGUGACUUUGGCCUGGAAGUCGGGAGGCUGUCAGAGGAGCCCCUCUGAGGGUCAGUCUCUGCCCCAGUUUUCCUGUCCUGACAGGGUCCUGUGCCAGCGCUGCCACCCAGGCUUGCUGCUGUUGUGCUACGGAGGCACUUUUACUGGCAGAGGCUCUUGGGAGGGUGCUGGUGAGCUCCUGUGGUUGGGCCUGCUCGUGUCCCUCUUUGCUGACAGGGCAGGAGGAAGGCCCUGGUUCAUCACCACGGAACAGCAGUCUUGCCUCCACCAGCCCGCGGAAGGCAUACAGCCUGUUGUGUCAUCUCUGAUCAGGUACAGAAUGCAGAUCUUGGAUGAGUCUGACAAUGAGGAUCCCCUCAGUAUAUCAUUUUGCAAGCUGAUUUCCUGAGAAGACUUUGAGGAACAGUCUUUUACACUCAGCAAUACCUGCAUGAACUGUACUCAGACAUGGAGCAGAACCCAUGGAUCCGCAAGAGGGUGUUGAAAAAGCAGAAAGAGAAGGAGAAGGAAGAAGCCGGCUUAAUACCUUAUUUGAAUGUACUUGCAAUACCGUCCUAGUGAAGGUCACCGGAUCUUUGAGGGUAUUAGGUUAAUAAUGAGAUAGGAUAGUGAGUUACAUUUUGUUCUUUCUCUAAAAAGAAAAAACCACAGAAGAGUGUGUGUCUAAGCCGUAUACUCCAUCUUAAGGCAGAUUGAGCCCUAGUUUUGUAUCAAGAGCUGUUGCUUAUUUUUCCUCAAGUGUUUGUGUACAUGAGUUUUCUGGAAACGUUGUGCUCUUGGGGUCCUUCACAGGAAUCCUGAGGCUCCCAGAUGCACUCCCAUCAUAGAGCUAAGAUGAAUCAUUCCUAAGGCUGGAAGUACAAUAUGAGCCCUCCUGUCCUCACACUUUGGCUUUGAUUUGUCUUCACAUCAGGCUUUGAUUUUGAAAUUAUUGUUUCUAAAGCAGAAAGGUCCUAAGUACAUGUAAAUGUUACUGAAAUCCCUUUGUAGUGUGAUAAAUAACAAAUCCCACUGUAAAGAACAACGUAAAAUACCAUCACUAUCUAGAAGAAACACUGUACUUUUGAGCUAUAUCUUCACAAGCAGGGAAGAGAGCUGGGGUGCAACUGGAAGCAUUUCAGAAAUUGUUGGUAUAAAUUUUCCCUGUACUAGGAACUCUGUAGGUUUGAGGUGAGUAUUAUAUCUACUCCUGGCAUCCUGCAUUUGGGGCAUGCUAGCAUUCCCUGGAUAACCUCAAUGGUUAGGUGAAGGCCACUGAUUCAUUCUAUAGCUGUCUUACUCCAUACAGGUUUUUAUAAGCCUGUGCUUAUGUUUGGUCCCUUGAUCACGCAUCUCAUUCCCAUGCCACUUUGGCGGUAUGAAAGACCUAACAGUAGAUUUAAACAGCCCCCUGAGUGAUCCCAGUAUAUAGGGAAUCUUCCUGCAUAACAUGAAGCUGCAGGCCCCAGGCAAGAGUGGAGGCAGGGGGUGUUGAACCAUUUGUGCUGUUGCAAAGCUGCUCUUUAGGGCUUUGAGGAACGCUGUGGAAAGCAGAGUCUAAGAGCAGACUAGUACUGCUUAGACAGACUUACUGCCAGCUUAUGGGGAGUGCAGAGUGUAUGUGAAGGUCUUCUGCCAUGCUGGUCUGUAUUUCUGUUCCAAGCACAGUACCUGAAAUACAAGGUAUUGCUGUGUGCAACAAGCAUGGGAGCUCUGAAGCCCUGUGCAGCACCACAGCUGUGGCAGCUGGAGGGUGAGAAGCUGGAGGGAUGGUGGCUCUGUGGGCUUACGCUGCAGAAGUGAAGUCUCAGUGUCUUAUCUUCCUUUUCUCUAUUGUUGUUUUCUAGGCCAAGAUUUUUCAGGCUCUGCAGGGAGAGCUGAAUUACUCUAACUAUAUGGGCAUUGCAGAGAUGAAGGAAAAAGUACUCCAGCUGAGACGAGACAUGCAGAGAGCAAACUAUGCUCGUGAGCUGCGAAGACUGGGAAAGGGCAACAUCCAAGGCUGUCGCAGGGGAAGAUGCACACGCCAGAAUGUAGAUUUAGUCACCUUCACUGCAGGGUUCCUGAACCUCCCAAAUUCACCAUGCCCAGGGUCUUCGGUCCUUUUCCAGAAGCUGUGAAUAACCAGGUGGCCAGAACUAUAACUUCAAGACCUGAUCUAAAAUACUGGUGGACUGGUCCAACAACAGUGAGCCAGAAAAGACUUCUUGGCAGUGCUCCCACACCUUCCCAAAAUGCCAGGUCUACUGGCACUAAACCUGAAAUCUCUCUUUUUAACACACCUAUGUCAUGCAAGUUUCAGGAUGGUGCAGAAGAUGACACAGACAGUGAGAAACCCAGCCUCAGUUCCUCUGCUAUGAAGGCGUAAGUGUGUCUUCCUACAUGGACAAACCUAUGCAAAUAAGCACUCUGUGCAAGCUCCCUGGCUGUGUGUGGAGAUCCUGCUAUGCCUUAAUGAUUUCUGCAACAGCUUUGUUUAGCAGGACAGCUGUACUAUGCCAAAGGUGGAGUAACGUCUGUGAGCUUUCUUCACUACCGAACAGCAGAUACCUAACUGGUUGGAAAGUGGGAUCUCCAUUAAAUGAGCACAGCAUGCAUGGCAGAGGUCCUAGACUUACCUCGUUUGGCUUCUAAGUGAAGCCAUCUCUCCUCUGACCCAUAAUAGCCAGACCUUGAAACAUGUUAAGUGUCUUAAUUCCCUCUACCUUCUGCAGAAAUUGGGUGCCUAAGUAUCCCUUAGAUCCUGUGCUUUACUUGCUCCUCCUAGCAUCGAUUUGAAUAAACGACAAA